UUACAACUACUGCUUCUGUAACUACAUGUAUUUUUAACUAUACUGUAUAUUAUAUGUUUAUACCAGCUUAGUAACUCGUGCGAUGCUAUUGAUAGAUAAUUAAAAAAAGUAUAGAAAAUAUCGAUAUAAAAUAGAAAUAAUAGCAAUAAAAAAAAUAAUAAUGAGGGGUGGGAUUCAUCUUGUUGUUGAACGAAGUAACAGCCGAAGAAAGAGAAAGGAUUUGAGCUGGUUCGAUGUGGAGCCACAAAGAAAAAGAGCAAUUUUAAAAGAAAUAAUAUAUAGAUAUAGAUGUAGAUGUUUGUCGAGAUUAGAUAGUUUGUUUAUGGGUAGUG
rnacentral:lncRNA from 1 species